UGAUGCGGAUUUUAUUUUCCAAUUUACUUCCACUCCAAAGGGAUUAAAAAACUAGAAAAUUCACUAAAAAUUUAAUCCGCGUAUGUACCCCGUAAAUUUAUUACAGUCUAUGUUCGACUAGAGUAUUUUAAAUAUUUGUAACCACUAUUUAUUAAUGUUUACUUUUGUAAAGUCCAUGACCUCGCAACCUACGAGUCGCAAAAAUCCCGAGAGCUGCAUAUUUAUAAAUUUUAUCAGCGUCCAAGUAUACUGAUAAAGAUGUCAUAUAUUUUAAAAAUGUUGCCGAUAUUCCGAGAGUAUAAAUUCAGCUAGCAAAUAUAUCAGAUUCAAUUAGUUUGCGCAAUUAAAUAAUUCAUUUACCAACCAUUUUUUUUUUCCCUUUACAAAAUAAUGUUUAAAAUAUUUAUUAUUGUUCUAAUUAUCGUAUGUUGGGCAUCAGUUGCUCAUCAGACAUGCGAAGGUCAGCAAUGUCACCCUAUCGCGGGCUCUACAUGCUGCGACGGCUAUGACUGUUCAAGUGGUUGGUUUACUUCAGGGUAUUGUAUAUACUCACCCCCGACAUUAGGAUAAUAAUUGCGUCAAUAAUAUAUAAUGUCGGUAUCAGCUGUUAUCAUUUUGUAAUCAACAAAAAAAAAAAUAUAUAAAUUUAUUGAAAAACUAA